UCUCCCCAUGACACUCCUCCCACCAUGUUAUUCAGCCUUCAGAUGGAAGGGACAGCCUUGAAGAUGCAUAAAUAAGCUAGAAAAUGUUUCUUCAGUAGAAAUUUCAGUAGAAACUUGGUAAAAUGAUCUCUUUACAACUUCCAUGAUUUUAUUCUCCAGGACAAUAUGGCAGGAUGGUUUUGAUACUUAAACUUUUGGAGGAUUAAAUUUGUGAAAACAGAAGCUGAGGACCAAAGCAGCUACAGGACUGACCUGCCCAAAACCACACAGUGAGUCUGCAGCCCGGCUUCGGACCAGAGUUUCUUCUGACAAGAGUCUCCAGACCAGUGCCAAGGAGCCAAAGAGAAGAAAUGAGAAUAACCAAGGUUUAUGAAACCUAUAUAAAAACCUGUGAAACCUA